UGUUGUCUACAGUGCGAAAAAGCGGCCGUCACGCGUUCGUGAAACUGCUGAAGCAGCGUGCAACAGCAGCAGCAGCAGCAGCACAAAAAUACCACUAAUACCAAAGCAAAUUGAUACCACGGUCCACACAUUUGAAAGAGUGCAGGCGAUUUUUUUUUUAACACUCAUACGCCACGUAGCACCUUGUGUACGCGCGCGUUCGCGUUUGUAGUUGUUUGUGUGUCUGUUGUCGGCGGUGCGUGUGGCAACUUCAUUUUCUUGCAGCCAAUGUGAAGUUUUCGCUGCAUUUGCACCCGCGCGCGUUGUUGUAGCUCCGGUUGCAAUGUGAUUGUUAAGCGUGCAAAAUUCUAUUAAGCAAAUAAAGAGUCGUGGAGGAAAAAGUGUCACGAAAAUGUGUGUUAAUAUUUUGAAAAGAAUUUUGUGCAAAGAGAAAAAUCCAGCAACGAUAAUGUGACACGCUCGCCUUUGUUAUUGUUGUGCUCCUUAAGUGACAGCAGUUUACGCAACAUUCUGCAUCUGCUUCUGCUUCGGUUUUUUCUCCUUUAUUUUUCACUUUCACUCUCUACUGUUGCUGUGCCUACACGCCUAUCGUGUACUUCUCCAGCGGCUCUGGGGACGUCUGAAACGCGCGCGCAAGUUUUAUUUCCCUUAAUACCUAACGAUAACUUGGUCGCUUUGCUCUUGCCUACAAAUAUACAAACGUACAUGUGUGCAUAACGGUAUUGUUUUAUGCAUAAUACCAAAAAAAUUUAAAAUAUUAUAUUCAGCCUGUGACCAGCGCUCCGUGACACAAUAAUGUGAAUUAGUUUCGCUCUACAAAUGACAGACAAUUUCUGAAAUUUAAACAGAAAAAAUUGGCACAUUUAAUUGAUGAUUGCAUUCGUCCCUGAAACUAAGUGCCAAAGUCCCAAACAACCAUCAGCAAAUCAACAAUAACAACAUUAGACAACUAACUGACAAACCAAUAAUUCAGCAAUAAACCAAUUGCAACCAGUUAGCCGAUUGACAAGCGACGGCAGGUAGCCAUCGCAGAGCGACGCAGCGGCCAGCCGAAAACCAAUACAUACAAACCCACACACCUACGUACAUAGCAACAAUUGUUUGCGCCGUCAGUGUCACCAGAGAAUAAUAUAGAGAAUCUGUCUUAUUUAUUGGAAAUUAAAUGCAAUUGCGAAAAAGCGCAGAAAUCACAUCAAACGCCGUCAAGUGUUGAUUUUUAUUCAAUUAUUCUUUAAUAAAAAAGUGCAAAUUUACGCCAGUGGCUAAAAAACAACAAAGCAAACGAGAAGUGGCAAUAAAUUAAUAAUUUAAAAGACAGUUCUGUGGAAAAGAGAAAAGCAAAUUUGUGCAUGUGUGGCGCUCCGAAAAAGAAAACACAAAAAAGAUUAAAGUAUUUACGUAUAUAUUUAAUUAUUUGCACAUUUUUGUGAUGAAAAUAUAAAAACAAAAAAAUUUAAUCAAAAUACUGAAAUCCCUUUGAGAAUUGCAUACUUAAUACAAAACGAAAAUUAAAAAUUCAUACAAAAUGUAAAGUGAUUAAAUUACCUUAACAGUACAACAACAAAUCAGCACAGGUGCACGCCAUAUACAUAAAUCAGAAAAAUCCAAUAACGGUUUAUCACGCAUAAAGUCAAUAUAUGCAUAUUAAUUACACAAUAACAUUUAGUGACCGUAAUAAAGCGGAAUAUCAAGCAGAUAGCGCUGUAAAAAUUAACUAAUUAAAAGUACAAUAAUUCACAAACUUAAAAGAUAUAAAUAAACAUUGCAACGCUAAUUGAGUUACGCGCUCCGGAAGAAAACAAUGGCGACGCCGGGACACCCAUUGCGCUGUGCAGAGACGCCAACAGCCUCAACUGUAACACUAACGACGCCGUCGGCGAUAACAGCGACAGCAGCGACAACAUAAACACAGCCACUGUUAAAGAAUUACAACUAACAGUCGUCGCUUUAACAGCAGCAGCCGAAACGACAGCACUGUUCGAGUAGCAGUAGAAACUGUUAAUAUUGUGUUCACUACAGUCGGCGUUGCAGCGGCAGCGCAGCGACUGCGAAAUGUAACUAAGCAGCGCACGAAUAUAAACAACAAACGCAGCCAAGCGCCAACGCUCACUGGAGCACAACGAAAAGCGCAGAGCUUGUGAGUACAGCAGCUCUGUUUAUUGUAAACACACGCAUAUGUACAUUGCUGCCGCCAUAACGUCAUCGGGGUCGCGUGCUCUGCGAAACGUGCAAUGCAGCGGCGUGCGUGAGCCGCAAAGCUUUUGAAGAACCUUUGAUCGCCGGGUUGCCCACACACCGCGUAUGACUCCCUCCUGCGCAUUCCCCCCAUAUGUGCACCACACACUUUCGGUCCACUAAAAGCCGAACUUAAAGCGUCGUUGGUCAGCGCGACGAUCGCGAAUUAUACGCUGCUUUGUUUGCUGACUUCAUUCGUGUCUCAGCUGCGAACCGUUGCAGACGACGUUAGAGCGAACGAACGACGCUUAAAGCACAUCAACUACAACAUCGCAUACAUAACGAAAAGUGUGUUUUUGUGUUGUUGUUGUAUACAAACGCGUGUUGUACGUCGAAUUGGUCGUUAGCGGAGCGCAUGCGGCAACAUUGCGGUGCUAAAGGUGCAACGAAGCUUGCAUAAAAAAAAAACAAACGAAUGAAACUACAACAACACAGCUGGCUGACAAAAGUGCAUAAAGCGAAAUAGAAUAGGUGAAGUGGCGUGGAAUAAAUGCGAAAGCGGAAUGCGUUAAUACGCUUUGCUUGCCUGCUGAUAUUUGAUCGGUCGCUUGCUUUGACUCGCGCUGCUGGUGGUAUUGCAUGUGCAGCGAUCGUCGGUAACAGCUGUUGUUGCGAGUUGUCGUAAAAUCAACUGUUGUUGAUUAGACAAAUAUUUAUUGCAAAAGGUGAAAAAUAUUGGAAAAUAAAGCGGCAGUUGAAAAGUAGCAAACCUACUUGUUAUUGUUGUUGUUGUUAUUAUUUUUGAAAAUAAAGUAUUUGUGCCUUUUGAAAUUCGAGAAUAAAUUAAUAAAUAAUUAAAAAAAUUUUUUUUGAAAUAAAAAAAAUUGUUUGAAAUAAUAAUAAAAAAUAAAUAAAAUAAAAUAAAAAAAAUUUUUUAAUAAUAUUUUUUGGCAAAAAAUAUUAUUCUGUGUAUAAAUAAAAACCAGGAAGGUGUGUGCUAAACAUAUAAAAGUGCAAAGCCAUCUUUAAAACGGUAAAAGCAGCGAAACAAGUUAUACGCUGUGGUGCGAAAAUCAUAAAUUCCAAUAAAGCAAAUACCAAACAAGGAAGCAAGCUUUUCAAAUAUAAAAAGCAAAUACUGUUGAAUAAAAAUUGUAAACACAAAAUAAAUAUAAAAGUACUGAAAAACAAAUUUAAUUGAUGAAAAAAUAUUUAAAAACUGUUAGAGUCUAAAAUAAAAGAAAUCAGUGAAAAAAA